GGAAUUGUUCGCAAUGGGCGCAAGCCUGACGACGCAACGCCGCGUGGAGGAUGAAGAUCUUCGGGUCGUAAACUACUUUCGAUCGAGACGAAUGGCCUCUGGAUGAAUACUCCAGGGGCGUGACGGUACCGAGGGAAGGAGACGCGGCUAACUCCGUGCCGGCAGCCGCGGGAAUACGGGGGGGGCAAGCGUUGUUCGGAAUUACUGGGCGUAAAGGGCUCGUAGGUGGCCAACUAAGUCAGACGUGAAAUCCCUCGGCUUAACCGGGGAACUGCGUCUGAUACUGGAUGGCUUGAGUUUGGGAGAGGGACGCGGAAUUCCAGGUGUAGCGGUGAAAUGCGUAGAUAUCUGGAGGAACACCGGUGGCGAAGGCGGCGUCCUGGACCAACACUGACACUGAGGAGCGAAAGCCAGGGGAGCAAAC
rnacentral:rRNA from 1 species